GAACGAGAAAGGGGAGCAAUCCCUGAGUAAAGUGGCGACCGGGUGAGUAACACGUGACUAACCUGCCCUUGGGGGGGGGAUAACCUCGGGAAACCGGGGCUAAUACCGCAUAACAUCUUCGGGAUGAAAAGCUGAAGAUCAAAGGAGCAAUUCGCUUAAGGAGGGGGUCGCGGCUGAUUAGCUGGUUGGUGGGGUAACGGCCCACCAAGGCGAAGAUCGGUAGCCGGCCUGAGAGGGCGCACGGCCACACUGGAACUGAAACACGGUCCAGACUCCUACGGGAGGCAGCAGUGGGGAAUUUUGCGCAAUGGGGGAAACCCUGACGCAGCAACGCCGCGUGGAGGAUGAAGUCCCUUGGGACGUAAACUCCUUUCGACCGGGACGAUGAUGACGGUACCGGUGGAAGAAGCCCCGGCUAACUUCGUG
rnacentral:rRNA from 1 species